GGCCGGGCAGGUGAGUGAGGCAGCAGAAGCCAUACACCUCCCUCUGUCCUCAUGCCAGGGUCUGCCUUUCCUCCCCCGGAGUUGUAAGUGACCAGCCAUGGAGCACCAGACAUGUGAAGUCAGCCCUGUUUGGAAACCAUGUCCUGAUCAGUCUAGAGGCAUUGACUGGAAUCCAUCCACAGAAAGAGGGUUGGGAAGUUAGUAGCCUUUACAGACCCAAUAGCAGGCUCAAGAAGAUAACACACGGGCUGGGCUGGGGCUCAGCGGUAGAGCACCUGCCUGGCAUGUGUGAGGCCCUGGGUUCUGUCCUCAGCACCGCAUACAAAUAAAGGAAUAAAAUAAAAGUCUAUCAACAGCUAAAAAAAUUUUUAAAAAAGAAGGCCAAAAAAAAAAAACAAAAACAAAACUGGCAAAGAAGGCCACUUACAGUAGUACUAGUAGUAAAAUUAAAAAGUGUACAAAACCUUCCUGAGGGUGACUUUUAAAUACUGCCAAAGAAUCACAGAUCCCUGAGGAUGGAGAGAGAGCUCCGUGCUUGGACAGGGGCAUCCGGAAUUAGUGUGUUGCACUAAAAGUACUGGACUUCUGCCUCCUCCUUCAGCUCUGCAGCCUGGCCACAGAAGCA
rnacentral:lncRNA from 1 species